rnacentral:rRNA from 1 species
UUGAACGCUGGCGGAAUGCUUUACACAUGCAAGUCGAACGGCAGCACGGACUUCGGUCUGGUGGCGAGUGGCGAACGGGUGAGUAAUGCGCCGGAACGUAUCCAGUAGAGGGGGAUAACGCAGCGAAAGCUGUGCUAAUACUGCAUACGCCCUGAGGGGGAAAGCAUGGGAUCUUCGGACCCUGCGUUAUUGGAGCGUCCGACGUCUGAUUAGCUAGUAGGUGAGGUAAAGGCUCACAUAGGCGAUGAUCAGUAGCUGGUCUGAGAGGAUGAUCAGCCACACUGGAACUGAGAGACGGUCCAGACUCCUACGGGAGGCAGCAGUGGGGAAUUUUGGACAAUGGGCGCAAGCCUGAUCCAGCCAUUCCGCGUGAGUGAAGAAGGCCUUCGGGUUGUAAAGCUCUUUCGGCAGGGAAGAAAAGGUAUUGGUUAAUAGCUGAUACUUCUGACGGUACCUGAAGAAGAAGCACCGGCUAACUACGUGCCAGCAGCCGCGGUAAUACGUAGGGUGCGAGCGUUAAUCGGAAUUACUGGGCGUAAAGCGUGCGCAGGCGGUUUUUUAAGCCAGAUGUGAAAUCCCCGGGCUUAACCUGGGAACUGCAUUUGGAACUGGAAGACUAGAGUGUAGCAGAGGGGGGUAGAAUUCCACGUGUAGCAGUGAAAUGCGUAGAGAUGUGGAGGAAUACCGAUGGCGAAGGCAGCCCCCUGGGCUAACACUGACGCUCAUGCACGAAAGCGUGGGGAGCAAACAGGAUUAGAUACCCUGGUAGUCCACGCCCUAAACGAUGUCAACUAGGUGUGGGGAAGGAGACUUCUUUAGUACCGCAGCUAACG